GAAAUAUAGAAAAUUAUUGUUAUUUUUAGUUAACUUAAUUUAAAAAAAGUAUUUUUAGUUUAGUAAAAAUAUGAAUAAUAGGGUAAAUUAUAAUAGAGUAUUAGUAUUGUGAAAGAAAUUUUUCUAUGGGGAAAAGAAAAAUAUUAUUUUGUACCUUGUGUAUCAGGGUUGAUUAAUUUUUAUAGGGAAGAUUUAAUUUUUCGAAUUUAAAAGAGUUAAGUUUAAAUUAAUUAAUUGUGGAAUAAAUUUUUAAAAUUUAAAUUUAGUAAUGAAAUGUUAUUCGUUUUUAAUAUAUCUAGUUAUUGAAGAAAAAAGUUUAAUUUAUUUAUUAGUUAUUAUUUUUUUAAUUUUAAAGUUAAAUGGUAAUUAAUAGGUUAUUUGAAAGGGGAUGAGCUUUUUUGAAGAUUUUUAUAAAUUUUAAAAAUAAUAAAAAAUUAUAGGGUUAGAAGUGCUUUUUUUAUAAAGUGUUAUAAUUAAUUUUUAGGGGAUUAUUAUUUUUAUUUUUUUUAAAUUAUUUAUUUAAUAAGGUAAAUUAAUUAAAAUUUUACUGUUAUAAUGAUUAAAUUAGUAUUGAAUAUUUUGUAGAAAAAUUAAAAGUUAGAGAGGUUAUUUUAAGGAAUUCGGCAAAUAUUUUUUUUACCUGUUUAUUAAAAACAUGGCUUUUUGAGAUUAAUUUAAAGUCGAGCCUGCCCACUGAGAUAUAUUAAAUGGCCGCGGUAUUUUGACCGUGCUAAGGUAGCAUAAUCAUUAGUUUUUUGAUUGGAAGCUGGAAUGAAAGGUUGGAUAAGAAAGAUUCUGUCUCUAUAUAAUUUUAUAAGAAUUUUAUUUUUAAGUAAAAAAGCUUAAGUAAUUUUUAAAGACGAGAAGACCCUAUAGAGUUUUAUAUAAAUUUGAUUUUUAUAUUUAAGAAUUAUUUUUAAUUGAAAAUUAAUUUUGUAUUUGGUUGGGGUGAUUAAAAAAUUAAAUAAACUUUUAUUUUUAAAAACCAUAUAUUUAUGAAAAUUUGAUCCAAAUUUAUUGAUUAAAAGAAAAAAUUACCUUAGGGAUAACAGCGUAAUUUUUUUUAAGAGUUCUAAUCGAAAAAAAAGAUUGCGACCUCGAUGUUGGAUUAAAAUUAAUUUUUGGUGAAGAAGUUAAGAAUUUUAGGUCUGUUCGACCUUUGAAAUUUUACAUGAUCUGAGUUUAAACCGGUGUGAGCCAGGUUGGUUUCUAUCUUAAAAUUAUUAGUAUAUUUUAGUACGAAAGGACCAAAUAUAU
rnacentral:rRNA from 1 species